rnacentral:snRNA from 1 species
AUCUUUGCGCUUGGGGCAACGACCCAGUUAGUGAGGUGAAAUCGAGACGCGUCAAUUGCUGGUUGAAACUAUUUAUAUUUCACUUCUUCUCUUGCCAUGAAUCGUCAAAGUUGGAGUACUACUGGCCUUCUUGAAAGUUGAAGA